AAUGAACGCUGGCGGCGUGCCUAAUACAUGCAAGUCGAGCGAAGCGGGGACAGGUGAGUAAAACGUGGGGGACCUCCUAUAAGGCUGGGAUAAAUUAGGGAAACCGGAGCUAAACCGGCUACUUAUAGCUGGAGGCGCGCGGCAUUAGCUGGUUGGUAAGGUAACGGCUGACCAAGGCAACGAUCCGUAGCCGAUCUGAGAGGAUGAUCGGCCACACUGGAACUGAGACACGGUCCAGACUCCUACGGGAGGCAGCAGUAGGGAAUCUUCCGCAAUGGGCGCAAGCCUGACGGAGCAACGCCGCGUGUGUGAUGAAGGUCUUCGGAUUGUAAAACUCUUUCAUUAGGGAGGCGGUACCCACUCAAAAAGCCCCGGCUAACUACGUGCCAGCCGCCGCGGUAAUAC
rnacentral:rRNA from 1 species